UUCGAGGCGAAGCGCGUGAGGGAUAGCAGCGGAAAUUCUUUUAUGUUUUUAGCAAAAAACAUAAAAGAUUGUAGUGGAUAGCCCGACCCGGG
rnacentral:sRNA from 1 species